UCCGAACUGGUCUAGUGGUUAGGAUAUCCGCCUCUCAAUGCUCAGUAGAGAUCUUAUUCGCGGAUGGCCGGGGUUCGAUUCCCCGGUUCGGAA
rnacentral:tRNA from 1 species